rnacentral:lncRNA from 1 species
AGAAAACAAAAAUCGAGCUAGGGGUAAAGGCAUGUUCAAAUGGUAUCGAGAAAUGUAGUUUAAAUAUUGGAAAUUUUUGUGAUAGCUUUAAAAUAUAUUUUUUAUCUUUAAUUAUAAAAUUCAAAGCUUCAAAAAUAGAAUAGAUCAAGCAGAUCUAUAAAAAAUAGUGUAGAUCAAGCAGAUCUAUAAAAACAUGAAAACCUUGAAAAUUGACGGUUUAAAAAAGCGUUACAAGAUGCACUAUUUUCAAAACUUGAAAUCUAUGUUUUUCUCAUGUCCAUGCAUCACGAGGUCGAGAUGAUCAAUUUGAGGAUAUUUAGGUGUCAAAACAACCUCUUCUACUAAAAUUUUUGAGGUGGGCUCUAAUUUUAUUGUU